AUUGAACGCUGGCGGCAGGCCUAACACAUGCAAGUCGAACGAGUGGCGGACGGGUGAGUAAUGUCUGGGCAACUGCCUGAUGGAGGGGAAUAACUACUGGAAACGGUAGCUAAUACCGCUUACCAUGGGAUGUGACCAGCUGGGAGUAGCUAGUAGGUGGGGUAAAGUCUCACCUAGGCGACGCGCCAUAGCUGGUCUGAGAGGAUGACCAGCCACACUGGAACUGAGACACGGUCCAGACUCCUACGGGAGGCAGCAGUGGGGAAUAUUGCACAAUGGGCGCAAGCCUGAUGCAGCCAUGCCGCGUGUAUGAAGAAGGCCUUCGGGUUGUAAAGUACUUUCAGCGGGGAGGCGUUACCCGCAGAAGAAGCACCGGCUAACUCCGUGCCAGCCGCCGCGGUAAUUC
rnacentral:rRNA from 1 species